UUCCGGUUGAUCCUGCCAGCGGCCACCGCUAUUGGAAUUCGAUUAAGACAUGCGAGUCGAGAGUCGCAAGGACUCGGCGGACCGCUCAGUAACACGCGGAUAACAUGCCCUUGGGUGGGGGAUAACCUCGGGAAACUGAGAAUAAUACCCCAUAGAUCUAGAAAGCUGGAAUGCUUUUAGAUCGAAAACUCCGGUGCCCAAGGAUUGGUCUGCGGCGUAUCAGGUUGUAGUGGGUGUAACGGACCCCCUAGCCUAUGACGCGUAAGGGCCUUGAGAGAGGGAGCCCUGAGAUGGACUCUGAGACAUGAGUCCAGGCCCUACGGGGCGCAGCAGUCGCGAAAACUUCACAAUGGGGGAAACCCCGAUGAGGGAAUUCCAAGUGCCAGCACAUUGUGUUGGCUGUUCUCUGGUCUAAAAAACCGGAGAAGUAAGGGCCGGGUAAGACGGGUGCCAGCCGCCGCGGUAAUACCCGCGGCCCGAGUGGUGGUCGAUAUUAUUGAGCCUAAAACGUCCGUAGCCGGUUUUGUAAAUCCUUGGGUAAAUCGACCAGCUUAACUGUUCGAAGUCCGGGGAGACUGUAAGACUUGGGAUCGGGAGAGGUGAGAGGUACUUCUGGGGUAGGGGUAAAAUCCUGUAAUCCUAGAAGGACCACCGGUGGCGAAGGCGUCUCACUAGAACGAAUCCGACGGUGAGGGACGAAGCCCUGGGGCGCAAACGGGAUUAGAUACCCCGGUAGUCCAGGGUGUAAACGCUGCGGGCUUGGUGUUGGGGGUCCUUUGAGGGCGCCCAGUGCCGGAGAGAAGUUGUUAAGCCUGCUGCUUGGGGAGUACGUCCGCAAGGAUGAAACUUAAAGGAAUUGGCGGG
rnacentral:rRNA from 1 species